rnacentral:lncRNA from 1 species
AGAAUUGUCAGACGAUCGAGAAUUACAAAGGUCAAGGAAUUCAGAGAGUGGAAGAUUUUCAUAAGCGGAAGCAAUUGAAGAUCCAAGUCAUCCAAUUACUUAUAAUGUCUAUUUUUUAUCUUGAAUCUGUUUUGAACAAUAUGAGUAGCUAAACCCCCAAAUGAUAGGGGGUGUCCCUGAUUUAGAUCUGUAAUGACUUUGAGUUUAUGAUUGUAUUGAUAAUAUUAUUUUUCCG